rnacentral:rRNA from 1 species
CAGUCGCCGCGGUAAUACGGAUGGGGCUAGCGUUGUUCGGAAUUACUGGGCGUAAAGCGCACGUAGGCGGCUUGGUAAGUUAGAGGUGAAAGCCCGGAGCUCAACUCCGGAAUUGCCUUUAAGACUGCCGAGCUAGUAGGUGAGAGAGGUAAGUGGAAUUCCGAGUGUAGAGGUGAAAUUCGUAGAUAUUCGGAGGAACACCAGUGGCGAAGGCGGCUCACUGGACCAUUACUGACGCUGAGGUGCGAAAGCGUGGGGAGCAAACAGGAUUAGAUACCCCCGUAGUCCCUGUCUCUUAUAC